rnacentral:rRNA from 1 species
CCUACGGGCGGCAGCAGUGGGGAAUAUUGCGCAAUGGGCGAAAGCCUGACGCAGCGACGCCGCGUGAGGGAUGAAGGUCUUCGGAUCGUAAACCUCUGUCAGCAGGGAAGAACGGUCACUGUGCUAAUCAGCAGUGAAUUGACGGUACCUGCAAAGGAAGCACCGGCUAACUCCGUGCCAGCAGCCGCGGUAAUACGGAGGGUGCGAGCGUUAAUCGGAAUUACUGGGCGUAAGGCGCUCGUAGGCGGUAUGUCAAGUCAAGGGUGAAAUCCCCGCGCUCAACGUGGGAACUGCCUUGGAAACUGGCAAACUGGAGUGUGGGAGAGGAUAGUGGAAUUCCAGGUGUAGGAGUGAAAUGCGUAGAUAUCUGGAGGAACAUCAGUGGCGAAGGCGACUAUCUGGCACAUAACUGACGCUGAGGAGCGAAAGCGUGGGUAGCAAACAGGAUUAGAUACCCCUGUAGUC